UAAGGUUAAGUUAAUAAGGGCGCACGGUGGAUGCCUUGGCACUAGGAGCCGAAGAAGGACGUGACAAACGACGAUAUGCCUUGGGUAGCUGUAAGUAAGCGAUGAUCCAGGGAUUUCCGAAUGGGGGAACCCAACAGGUACUACCUGUUACCCACAUCUGUUAAGGAUGUGAGGAGGAAGACGCAGUGAACUGAAACAUCUAAGUAGCUGCAGGAAGAGAAAGCAAAAGCGAUUGCCUUAGUAGCGGCGAGCGAAACGGCAGGAGGGCAAACCGAAGAGUUUACUCUUCGGGGUUGUAGGACUGCAAUGUGGACUCAAAGAUUAUAGAAGAAUGAUUUGGGAAGAUCAGCCAAAGAGAGUAAUAGCCUCGUAUUUAAAAUAGUCUUUGUACCUAGCAGUAUCCUGAGUACGGCGGGACACGAGAAAUCCCGUCGGAAUCUGGGAGGACCAUCUCCCAACCCUAAAUACUCCCUAGUGACCGAUAGUGAACCAGUACCGUGAGGGAAAGGUGAAAAGCACCCCGGGAGGGGAGUGAAAUAGAACCUGAAACCGUGUGCCUACAACAAGUUCGAGCCCGUUAAUGGGUGAGAGCGUGCCUUUUGUAGAAUGAACCGGCGAGUUACGUUAUGAUGCGAGGUUAAGUUGAAGAGACGGAGCCGUAGGGAAACCGAGUCUGAACAGGGCGAAUUAGUAUCAUGACGUAGACCCGAAACCAUGUGACCUACCCAUGAGCAGGUUGAAGGUGCGGUAAGACGCACUGGAGGACCGAACCAGGGCACGUUGAAAAGUGCUUGGAUGACUUGUGGGUAGCGGAGAAAUUCCAAACGAACUUGGAGAUAGCUGGUUCUCUCCGAAAUAGCUUUAGGGCUAGCGUCGACAUUAGAGAUUCUUGGAGGUAGAGCACUGUUUGGGUGAGGGGUCCAUCCCGGAUUACCAAUCUCAGAUAAACUCCGAAUGCCAAUGAAUUAUGGUCGGCAGUCAGACUGCGAGUGCUAAGAUCCGUAGUCGAAAGGGAAACAGCCCAGACCACCAGCUAAGGUCCCAAAAUAAUUGUUAAGUGGAAAAGGAUGUGGGGUUGCACAGACA
rnacentral:rRNA from 1 species